GUCAACAGACUUUGCAUUAUUACCUGCAGAGUAGAUAUGUACCUGGCCUCAAGAAAGAUACUACCUUGCCAUU
rnacentral:misc_RNA from 1 species